UACGUAGGGUGCGAGCGUUGUCCGGAAUUAUUGGGCGUAAAGAGCUCGUAGGCGGUUUGUCGCGUCUGCCGUGAAAGUCCGGGGCUCAACUCCGGAUCUGCGGUGGGUACGGGCAGACUAGAGUGAUGUAGGGGAGACUGGAAUUCCUGGUGUAGCGGUGAAAUGCGCAGAUAUCAGGAGGAACACCGGUGGCGAAGGCGGAUCUCUGGGCCUUACCUGACGCUCAGGUGCGAAAGCUAGGGGAGCGAACAGG
rnacentral:rRNA from 1 species